CGAAACUUUCAUUUUGCCGGCCAAAACACUUGGUCAAAUUUUGCUUCUUCUUAUCUCUCUCACAAGAAACACUAGCAGGGAAAGAAGCCGAAAAAUGGAAGGGCAAUAGCAGGAGGAUUCCACCCAUAACCUCCCCCAUCCAAAUACAUUUUCGACCCCAUGUCAUUUUCCCUCUGUUAUGCCAAAGGCUCGAACCGCUACUAAAAAGUAUUGCAUCAAGUACAGUCCAUCUGUUGCUCGACAAGUUUAUGCUUUCUCUGAGUUUCCAAGUGUAAAGAGAGUUUGGAGUAUUGGUCAUUUGAGAUGGUUGUUCUAUUAUCUGGUCUUUUGCCCAAUCCAAAACUAGAAACAUCAGUCCUAUCUAUCAGCCUCAAUACAUGUUGGAUGGUCUAUAUGACCUCUGUCGGUCUUGGUGUUGCCAUAAGGUUAGUAAACCCAAUCAAAGUUCUUAUGAUGCUUUUAAUCUUUAACAAUGACAAAAGAAAAAAAAAGUUUUAACAAUGACAUUAAUUAACGGAUACCUCAAGGAUCGAACUAUUUUUCUUGAUUACUGUUAUCCAUGCAUUUAGCUGGUCGAAAAUGAUUUUACCCUAUAAUCAUUUUAGUACGAGAGUUUCAAAUGAAUUGGGCGCUGGAAAUCCACAAGGUGCGCGCUUAGCGUUGGGUGUGGUAGUCAUAAUGGCCUUUACAGAGGGUGCAAUUGUUGGGACAACAACCAUUCUGGUUCGGCAUAUAUGGGGAAAGCUCUAUAGCAAUGAAGAAGAGGUGGUUAGAUAUGUGGCUAAGAUGUGGAAAUAGUCAUUACUCAUUAGUCCCAAAACACGGCCACCACCCCUGGACCAAUUUGGCCCCCAAUCUAAUUAAAGAAUGACUUGGCUUUUUAUUAAAAAAACACUAAGAGUCAACCUCAACUACUUCCAUUGCUUGUCAUCCAUUAGUUGGCUCUGUUCUUUCUUUCUUUCUUUCUAGAUUGGUUCGAAAUUUCGCGUGCCUAAAUUCGCGAAGGAGAGAGGGGGGGAUGUGAUUUUCCAGUUUGUGAGGCUACGACACGACUUCUUGGAUGUACGACCUGGUGCAAUAGUCCCUAUAAAUACUGGUGGAGCAAGUGUCCACCUCCACAAACUUUGAGGCUCUCUUCACAUAAAUCUAGUGACACAAGCAAGAGAGAGUACCAAAUUGGAUUUGGAAGUGAAUUCAAAUAGGGACGAUAUGAAGUUCAAGAACACAGCAAAGGGCAGGCAAGUUUAAUAUCAUACUGCUCGUUGUUGCAGUUCUAGCUGCUCGUUUUUGCACUAUCUUGAUCUGCCUAAGGCAAUAAUCUCCUGGUGACUAGUUGGAGCUUCUGUCCUUCUUUUGUUGAGUUGUGCCUUGUCGAGUAUGAAAUGCUUAGGUUCCCCCCAUCUCUCUUAGCAGCAGCAGCAAUCUUUACUGCACAAUGCUCUGUCAGUGGGUUCAAGAAGUGGACUAAGACAUGCGAGAGGCACACAAACUACACUGAAGAUUAACUUUUGAAAGAUUUGUUUUGCCUAUGGACUGGAAGCUUGGAAAGUUUGGAAGCUACUGCAAGUUCUUUCUACUUUUUAGGGAAGAGAAUCUUUUAGUUUGCGCACAAGAAAAUUUUUCAAGUUUGUACUUGUUACGGAUUUGCAAUGUUAGUAUUUGUUACUGACUUUUAGUUCAACAAAUUAUAUUUGAGCAUUGACUUUUGCUUUUAGAUUACUAUAUGCAUUCUGUUCUUUGGGAUAA